rfam:Dipodomys ordii contig_7015, whole genome shotgun sequence.
GGGAAGGUAGCUCAGUGGUAGAGUGCUUGCUUUGCAUGCAUGAAGCCCUGGGUUCAAUUCCUCAGCACCA